rnacentral:tRNA from 2 species
UAGAGCAAAGCAUUUUAGAUGCAAGAAACUGUUAUUUUCUAGAAUUUUUCUCUAG